AGAACGUUUUUUUUCACAUUUGUUUUAUGAAAACACUCCGAAUGCCGUUGCUAAAGAUCAUUACUAAAUAAAUAACUAAAUAAAAAUGAAAAACUUCGAUCAUCUCGUGUUGAAGGCGAACCAAAAGAAAUGGGUAGGUUCAACAUCAUCUCGUGUUCAUGGCUGUGUCGUUCCCAUCGUCGAAGCCCAUCCCCGCCGCGCAUCGGUCAUCUAUCUUCAACGCCGUUUCUGAGCCACCGCGACACCACCAACCCUCGCCGGUGUUGAAAGCGAACCCAAACUCCGACUGGCAACGGUGAGAGCGACUGGAGACGGUGGCCACAAAAUCGACGCUGGUCAUGACCUAAUCGAUGCACUCACGCAUCAAAUCUCGAAGCUCCAUUCUUCUUCUCGAAGCUCCAUAAUCGCUGCCUCUGCGAUGAUGAAAUCGGAAGGAUUCGGUUUCAAAGAACUUUGGUUUUCGGAAGAAGAGUGAUUGAUUCGUUUUGUGUCGACUUAAUUUUGAUUUUGUUCAUUUUCAGGUUGUUCUGUAUGGAGAUCUCUCUCGCGCCCUUGUGAUCCUCCUUCCUCUGCUCUUCAUCUAUGGCGGUGUCUGCUUCUACCUCCCUGGCUUAGUGCCGCAAGAUUUCCAAAAGGUUAUGUGAGGGUGGAGAACUGCCGAAUCAGAUAUUGGCCUAGUGUGGGCCUAUAAAUUGCUAAUUGAGAAUGACAAUAGUGAGAAAGGGAGCAGAAACAGAAGCAGAUAAAAUAGUAGAUGGGUUGUAAUGGGAGCAGAAGCAGACAGAUAUAAAUUGGGGUGCCAAUUCCAAAAAUCAGUGGCUUUUUAUUUUAAUGCUCUCACUUAUUCCUUUUCCUUGUGAAAUUACUUGAAACUUGUACUGCAAAAUUGGGCUACUUAAAGAAAUAAAUAUAUAACAUGUUUUAAACUUGGGGUUUGCAGGAUGUGGGAACCACCUGAAUCUAAUGGGAUGCUUUCAAAAACGCUAGCAUGAACAAGAACUGCGAGUAGUCUCAGGGAAUCUGUUUCCUUGGCUACAUUUUCUUUCUAUAAAGUUUUUUCCUCCUUCGAUCAAUAGUUAAUAAUUUUGCAUAAUAUGUGUUAAAUUCUUACCCUCCUUGCCCUGCUUAUUUUAUUAUUUACUUUCAUCUUUUCCUGUUAUACAUUGGUGGUUACUAAUGAUGCAUGCUAUUUUCUCUUUCAGGUAAACAGAAUCAUGGAACUCCCAGAAGAUAGUAAGGCAGUAGCCAAGCACACAAAUAGUCCCAAUCAUCAGGCAUUUGAAUGAAGAUGUGCUUCUUUCAGAGGCUGUGCAGGAUUUGGUGUCCAAGGACACUGCCAAUAGUUCUUCUUAACUCAAAAAAGGGCUGGAGUCAAGUUUUCCUUCUUCAAGAUUGCUUGUCUGGUAGCAUAAUGAUGAUGGCAAGAUGAUGCUACACUUUGAUGGUGGAAUUUGUUGGUUUGAAUGCUGUUUUAAUUUGGCCAAAAAUAUUGUCGAUCAUUAGAACAAUUUGCAUCUUGUAGUUUGGAUCUUUAGUUUAUUAAUUUGGAUUCUAAUGUAUUAAUGUUGAUGGAUUAUUACGUGGAUUCAAAGAUGAUAAUGAUUGACAGUAUCUUUUUUGUA